GGCUGGAAAAGAUGUGAGACUCCAUCUUGCCAGUCCCCGGUUUUUUGACACAGGCAGAUGUAAAGCCUGAAAGAGUAGGUGGAGCCACUCUUCCUCAUUAGAGUAAACAGAUUCAACUCAAUUAUAAAUAG